GGGUGGGGGGCGGGGGGUGGGCUGGGAGGGCCCCGGGGAAACUGGGGAAGCGGGGUACUGGGGCAACCAGGGGAAGAUGGGGCACUGGGGUUAGGGAAGCUUGCUUACCCAAGGGUCACCUUGGAUCUCUGGAGCCUGGCAGGACGGCGGCGAGCGGGGACCCCAGUGGGCCCGGACGGCAGUGGCCCCGGCCCUCGGGGUCCGGCGGGAGGGUCAGCCAGGCAUUCAUCCCGGUUUUUUCUGGUUUCAGGACGUGGCGGCUGGUGACAGGGGAGGAGACGAGGGGCUUUGGUCAGCCCGGCGGCGGCAGCGGGCAGCGAGCAGGAGGUCGCUCUGCCCGGUGAGUCCUCUCUGGCCGGGCCCCGCUUCAUCGCGUCCUGGGGAAGCUGGACGCAGGGGCCCGGCGGGAAGGGGGCCGCCCGGCAGAGUGGCGGGGCGGGGGACAGCCCGGCGUGGAGACACCGUCUCGGGGGGAGCCGAGACCGGCGGGCGGGACACGAGGGGACGCAGCGGGAGGUGACAGCAGGGCUGCCCGCAUGAGAGGUGGCAGGCGGCCACAGGAUGGGCCGUCCGUCGGGAUCACGGCCGAGGCAGGGACUUAGGGUGCAGAGGGGUCCCCGGCCGCCACACGCACCCACCGAAUUCACAAGUAGAAGGUUCCGGAGGGCCCGGGCCUGUGUGGCCCGGGCGUCGAAGGCUGGAGAGCGGGAAGAUGGCGCAGUGCAGAGGGGGGGUCAGCAGGGGCAGCCGCCAGAGAUGCCGCAGCAAGGAGGCUGCGAGGGCCAAGCUGCCCACAGGCACUGCGGCCCAGGGCUGGGCACCUUACCCGGAGCACUGGUGCCCGGGCUGCCUUCAACGCCCAGCCCUGGGGUGGGGCCGACAUAGCACAGACAGCGCCAGGGGAGCCAAGGGCACAGGCGAGGCCAGGUCAGGCGAGGCAGGCGGGGUGGCGUGAGUGGGAACUCGAGGAGGAGGUGUCGCAGGCAGGGUUACUAAGAGCAGCAGGGCAAGACGGGCACUGCGCUCCGGAGCCCGGGCCAGGCGGGCCCCCGCGAGGACGGAGUGGGUAUCGGUGUCCCCACACGUGAGCUGGAGACGAGGCCGGUGUCCAGCAGGGUGACCAGCCACAGACUCGGAAGGCCAGACACGGGCGUGAGCUGAGGGACAUGACAUGGUCCGGUGUGACGGCGAGGACCUGGCGGGGAUGGCCUUCCUGAACAUUCUAGAAUGGUGGCCGGGGCGCUGGCUAGCCAGCAGGUCUCUUUCAUUACUUCCCUGAAGGAGCCAACACACUUCUAUUCUCAGACCCUCCAGAAUCCACAGACGACAAGAAAUGGUGCUCCCCAGCUCAUGCCUGGGCCUUGGAACCCGGACUUGUUCAAGUCCCAUAGCUCUGACCAGUGACAUGCUGCACUCACAGACACCCCCUCAGGACGGCUCUGGAAGGUGGAGCCGAAGGAAGAGACCCCAAGACAUCCCCCCCGGAAGUGACACCCAUCAAAUGGCCACCUGCCUGCCUGGGCCACACCAUUGCCCCACCGCCUCCUCCUCCUCCUCCUCCUCCUCCUCCUCUUUCUCCUUUCCUUCUCUCUCUCUCUCUCUUCUUUUUCUUCUUCUCUCUCUCCGUGGCCCAAGCGCCCCGGCCCCCCCGGACUCCGUGUCCCUCUCCCCACUGAAUUUGCACUAAGUCGAUUGCACUGGUUGGGGUUCGGGGAGCGGCCCGGGGCGUCGUCCGGCCCGUGUGCGUGUGUGUGAGUGUCCGCUGGGCCCAGCACCCACCCGGCUUCCACCCCGGGGUGCCUGGGGCGGCCGUGUGAGCGUGAGAGUGUGUGGGGCCCCGCCUCUCGGAGUCUGGCCUGGAGGCUCCUGACACCUAGAGCAAAUCUUCAAACAUUCCACUGUCCUUGCCUGUGCCCCUCCCCCCGGGGCUCCCCACGAGCCCCCCACAUCACAAUAAAUAUUAUCACAGCAA